CUUGCACAACACCUAGUUCGCCGUGGUUUGGCCGGAAACUUCCUCGAAAGCCUCGGAGGUCGCCGGAAACUGGGUAUUUUUCAAAUGAGUAUAACUUCUUCAAUACUCAACGAAAUUGAGUGAAACAAAAAGGAAAGUUGUAGUACUUGACGAGACGAAGAGAUUGAUACCUACCUCGACUCCUAACUCGCCGGGUAUUCGCCGGAAAACGCCUCGAAAGCUCCGGCCAAACUUUGAACUUGUCGAUCUCCGUGUUCUUACGUCCAAAAACUUCCAACGAAGCACUCCGAGCUUCCUUGGGACCUUACUAAACUCGCUGUGAUCUUGUUUUAGCCUAAAACGUAACCAAUUCAAAGCUCAUGAACAGUGUCAUCUCACGGCAACUUUAGAACUAGGGUUUUCGAAGUGAAACUCACCUGAAAUUGGUAUCCCCGUGCUCGUGAAGUCCCCAGGAUCACGAUGGUGGUCUUAAAUGGAACGUUGGUACAAGAUUGUGGUGGUUCUUGGUGGUUGCCGUGAGUUCGAGAGUAAGAGAGAGAAUGAGAGAGUUUCAGAAAAGAAUAAGAGAGAGAGAGAGUCUGGAAUGAAAGAAGAAGAGAGAAGAAAGGUUACGGGUUUUAGGGAGGGAAUUCAGGGUAGGAGGCCCUACCUAAGUCCAAGCACAAAUUAACACAUACAAAUAUAAAUCUAACCCUAGUUUAGGAUCUUAAAGUAAAACAAAUGUCAUACAUUUACACACCUUAAUCCCGUUUAAGGUCACAUUGGUCAUCUCACGUCCUCGGAAUUAAUAAUUCCGGGACGGGCUGUGACAAUCUCCCCUCCUUAUAGAAUUUCGUCCCCGAAAUUCCAAUCACCAACCAGAACAUCAAAACUCAUAAAAUAGUCUCGGAUACAUAACUCUCAUCCGUUCUUCUGUCUCCCAUGUAAUUUUCUACUGAAUGAUUUCCUUCACAAAGCUUUUACUACUUACUCUGUCUUAAUUCUUAGGACCUUCUUUUUCCAAUCCAAAGUCGACAUUAGUUCCUCACCAAUCAGAUCCGGCUUAAUUCUCAAUAGUUGCACCAAAGUCCCAUGUAACGACUCUGCCACUUAGUGACAACGCAUCGAACACAAAAUACAUUAUGUGCCUUAGCCAAUUCUGAAGGCAUCACAAACUUGUAUGCAAGUUUAUUGAUUCCUUUAGUGAAAAAAAAAAAUGGUCUGAUGUGUCUAAAUCUUAUCUUGUCUCUUUUCCAAUUCUCGUCAUUUCUGUUCGCGGUGAAUUUUCCAAAAAUAUCAAACCAUUUACCUUACACACUCGAUUAGUGGCAUAUCCAUCUGUUGAUCUCUUUUUGCCAUUCCUGGUUACUUCAGGUUAACUUAAUCACCUGAAUACUUUGAGGAGACUCAUCCAUAGUCUCAGGGUCUACUAAAACUCUUUCUUGAUCGAAUCUUUCUCUACCCAGAAACAUUCCAUUCACAAGUCAUCAAAAACCGACUCACGUGACACAUUUCAUGGUCCUUAUGGCGUUACUUCGGAAACUGCACAACCAACAUACUUAAGAAACUUAGCAGUUCCGUAAUCCAAUUCUCUUUUCCAUAAAACAAAUUAGUAAUGUUGCACUGUCUGGGAAAGGUUGUUACUCAACACUGGAGUAAAUGUACUAACUUGUUACUUAACAAGUAUAACUUCUUCUCGAUCUUCCAUUCUUAACUUUACUUUAGUUGGUUUCCAAUCCACAAGAAGAUAAUCUUGGCAAACGUGCCAGACAUUAAUCUUACUGUAGUCUUCUCGCCAAGUGCUUGAGCUAGAACAAACUUUACGAUCACCCUGAUCGUACAAUCAUGUUCAUUAAACAAUACAAUUCACUUUCGCUGCCUCAUAUCAAAUUCCUUCCAAGUAAUGGAUAUUGAAGACUUUUUGGAUUCGUAAAAAAAAAUCUUGCAUUCCCACUAAAAUAUAAUGUCUCCAUAACUUCACAGCACGAAUGGUAAUCGUGACUUCCAAAUCACCAGUAGGGUAAUUCAUCUUAUGAGAUUCCAUUUAUCGUGAAACGUAUGCAAUCACCCUAACAUUUGCAUCAACAUGCAUCCAAUACCAUUCAAGAAACAUCACUAAAAAUUUAUGAUUACCAUUAUUCUCUGGGAUUACCAAAAUACGUGCAUGAGUGAGGAAAUACUUCAGUUGUUGAAUCCUUUGCUUACAAUUCCUUCCCACUCAUACCUAACCUCUUUUCUCAACAGUCUCGUCAAUGACAAAGCAAUGACUGAAAAAUCUUUCACAACCAUCCAAGAUAGCCUGGUAAGCUAAGAAAUUCCAAAUCUCAAUUACGACUCGUGGUUGUUCCAAAUUUUAAUUUCUGUUACCUUUUAAGGAUUCACUUGAAUACCUUAAGAAUAUAUAACAUAUCCCAGAAAUGCUGCUUGAUUCAUCCAACAUUCGCAUUUGCUAAACUUAGCAUACAACCAACGUUCUCUUAAUCUUUGCUUCACCGACUUAAUACGUUUACAUGCUCUGCUCUAGGCUUAGAGUAUACCAGAAUAUCUUCAAUGAAAAUGAUAUCUAUUUAUCAAGGCAUUAUUGGAAUACUUCAUCCAAUAACUCAUAAAACAGCAUGAGUAUCCAUAUAGCAUCACCAAACUUCAUAAAGACUAUAACGAGUCCAGAAAACCAUCUUAUGAUCAAUGUCACUUAUAAUAUUCAAUUGGUAGUAACCAGAUCUCAAUUCAAUCUUUGAAUCUUCGCAAUUACUUCUGAGCUGGUUAAAUAAACAUCAGUACAUCACCAUGGAUAACGGUUCUCAAUCGUUACCCGACUCCAUUGUCUAUAAUCAAUGAACAGUCUCAAGAUCCAUUUUCUUCCUCACCAACAAACUGGGGCUCCUCAAAAGUGUUGUACUAGGUUGAAUAAAACUUUUAUCAACCAAUUCCCUCAACUGAAUUUCCAAUUCCCUUAACUCAUCAUGAACCAAUCUCCAAUAUAAAUUUAUACCUGGCAACAAAUCAAUAGUGAACCUCAUAUCUCUGCCUGAAGGCAAUCCAGGUAUACUUUCAGGGAAGACAUCAAGAAAAGUCUAACUCUUUCGACAUUAUUCACACUACUCCAAACAACAUCAUUUAGCACCACAUGAGCUAAGUAUUUUUGACAGCCUUUCGAAAACAAUCUCUUUGCUCUCACAACAUAAAUAAUGGCUGAACUCAAUCCAUUUUGCAUACUUACAAAAGUAAUCUCUGUUCAUCCAGAUCGAUGGAAAGUACUGGUUUCCCAUAACAUUUCGUCUUGUCACAAUUAUAACCAACCAAUCUAAUGGAAAUAAUUUAACCGACACAAUACAUACUCUAUUACUACUAAGCAUUCUGAAUAAGUACAAAAUAAUCUACCGGUUUACUUACUUAACGAAUCCACGAAUGAGUUAUUAAUAUUACGGUCUGCAGCCCGCAAUACUGAUAAAUCAUCGUUGUCUCGAUAAGUAGGCAACCACUCUCAAAGAUAUAACAUUACUAUUUUGUCACUCAAUGCAAAAUACAUACACUCAUCUCAACUACAUUUAUUUACUACUCUCAAGGUAAUAACAUACAUAAUAAGAAAUAUAUCAGCCGAAGUCAACUAGAAUGAUCAAUACGACUGAUUCAACUCUUAUCUCAAUAAUACGUCGGCCGGAUCCACUCCGCGUGGUCGGUACGGCCGAGCCUAUAACUCACAAAUUUCGCAUGUGUCAAUCGAAUCCACUUCUCGUGGCCUGUACGGCUGAACAUAUAACUCAUCAAAUUUCUCUGUACUCACAGUCAAUCCGACCAAACUACUAAGUUUAUAACUCUUCUGAAUCGACACUAUGAUAUCAUGGAAAAUUAUUGAGUACAACUGAUUCUAGGGACGAUUCACAAUUCUGUGUCCCCUCUGUUCACAUAAACACAUUCAUUAAUUUCACACUUCCCAAAGUGUUAAUUUUUGUACCUGCAGCACAAGGUACAUUUCCUUUACUCGAGACACCUUGUCUCAAAUAUCUGGGAUUACCAGUAUAUCCAUCACUUUUAUUCUGACCAGCGACAUUAAAACCUCAGCUGGAAAAAUUAACUCUAGCUUCACUUCUUUCGAAGCUCUGAAUCUUUCUAUAUCCUUGAUAUGACGAAUCAUUAACUUUAUCGUCUUCUUUUAAUUCCUAUUCUUUUCUUAUUCUUCUUUAUUCUCGUUGCUCAUGUUCUCAGAGUCCUCAAGAUUCAACAACAUCUAGCAUACUCCUGAUAAGAACUACAAUGGAUAGUGGUCACCCAAAAUACCACUUCCCUUUUGUCACCCAGCUUAAAACAACAUAACACCUCCACCAAAUUAACAACAAUAUCUGGAUGGAACGAGGCUAGUCUGAAAACUUUCUAUAAUAUCCCUCGAUCAUCACCUUCCUUGUCUCAUAUUUGUAAAUUCUUGUUUACUACCAUCGAUAAAUGCCGGAGGGAUAAACUUUUCCUUUAAACAAGUCCUUAAACAAUUCUCAAUCGACUGAUUCCUCUGGUGACAACAAUUCAUACUCCUGUUUCCACCAGGAUACAAAUUCAUAACCAAAACCAGGUAGUCGUCUCGACCCCCUGUCAGAAGGAAAUUUCCUUUGACUUGCAUAAUCUGAAACAUCUUUUCCAAAUGGUUAAACCGUUACUUCGCUCUCUCAGGUUCAUCAUUUCAUAAGGUGAUUCAAGUUCAACUCAUUACCCAUCUUAAAAUGUCCCUUUAGACAAUAGACUGAAUCACCAUAGUAAUAGUUUCCCCCUAAACCGCUAAAUCAGGGAGACUAAGUUCCUCUAACUACGUGGCUUGCUACGAGGCGGUGUAGUUCUGACAGAAUUCACUAGAACUUCUCAAGAUGUCCAAGAUUGCAACCAUGCUCUGAUACCAACUGACACACCCCGUCCCGAAGGAGGGCAUGCUGGCCGUCACGUGAGAGUGACGUAACCAUUUGCACAGUACGGAAGCUUUAAGAUACAAUUUAUAAGUUGAUACACCCGAAGGUGAGUCCUAAUUUUGUCCAAUCUGUCAGAACACCGUCGAAUUCCUCGUAGUCACCACACCUUUGUGAUUCCUGAACCUGGAGGGGCGCAAAACCAAAAUUGAGUGGGUCAGUAAAACAAUUCUUUUUCCAAAUCCAAACAUUUCUCAAAACGUUGUAACCCCUCUCCGUAAAACCUGUAUACUUUCCCAGAAAUGUAAAAUAUAAAUAUACAUAUAUAUUCUCAAGACUUCAAGUCGUUAACUCAACAUUUUCAUAACAAUUAUGCCAUGCCACACAUCAUCUCAACAGUAAUAAGGUAUGAAUGCAUCAACAUAAUCAUAUCAGGUGCAAGAAAGUAAUCAACCGUAGGCCCUCUAAUAGCCCUGUACGGUUGAACCUAGAGCUCAAAAUCUAUCAUUAUCACUCUACCGGAGUCACCUCUGUGACCCGUCCGGCCUUCUGCACACAAGUUACGCUCUAGUGCUUCUCAUAAAUCAUCUGUGCACAUAAUCUAAGGUCACCCACCAGUCGGAAUCUCACUAACACUCUCGCGACUGGUCUGUCGUACCCACUCCGCGUGGACUGUACGACUAGCAUCUACUUGGAUCCAAGGCGAGCGUGCGAUGCGGUGAAUACUAUAAGCACUAAACCAUGGUGCAGGAUUUGAGCUCAAUAUAUAUCAUCAUCAUCAUAACAGUAAUUAAAUACUCAUCUGUGCGUCCACCGCACCAUUUCAUACAUAUGCAUCAUAAAUCAAUUCUUACCUGUGCGUCCACCGCACCAAUUCAUACAUAUGCAUCAUAAAUCAAUUCUUACCUGUGCGUCCACCGCACCAAUUCAUACAUAUGCAUCAUAAAUCAAUUCUUACAUGUGCGUCCACCGCACCAAUUCAUACAUAUGCAUCAUAUAUUAAUUCAUGCAUGGCAUUUCAACUCACAUUUCUAUAUACUUUUCAUAUCAAUUCUAUGCAUGGUAUUUCACUUCCCGUUUUUCCACAUAACUCAUAUGCAUUUCAUUUUAAACAUAUUUUCAUUUCAAUUCAAUUUCUGGGAAACGUCAAGUAUAUAUAUAUACGGAAAACAAAACUGCCCACUCACCUGGAGUUCGUCCAACAACUCCCUAGCACCACACAUCAAGGCGUCAUGACGAUCGCCGCCUAGAAUAGUAAUCAAAUCCAGGCUCAGAAUUCAUAUCGAUAGAAUACAUAACUUAUAUAAAAUACGUCACUACGUUGAUCGAUCCGGAAGAUCUGCCACUCAGAUUUUUAAAUCCAUAACUUCCAGAGGUCCACAUUAUACCUCUAGGACAACAUCCUAAAAUUUCAUUACCAUCCAACGGUCGGAUCUCCGUCAAUUUCCAAAACUAAGUGACGGUUAACAUUUUAUAUUAUGGACUUACAAUUCCAAUUCCGGAAGAUCCGUAACUCGGAUUCCCAAUCCGUAAGUUCCAAUAAUCCUCAAAUAUUACGUAUUACAACGUAUCAAAUUUUGGUGACGAUCCAACGGUCGGAUCAUCAAUUCACAUUUUCACCUAAAUGUGAAAACUAUAAAACGUUAUUUGAACACCUAACCAACAAUCCUCAAUAACUUUCUCAUACGGUGUUCAAUUUAGGUAUAUGAAUAUACCACAGUGAUCUACUCGACGUCACGGACGUCGACAUAUUUUUAAAAAUAAUUUUAUUUUUAUUUUUUAUUUUUACUGUAGCACCUUCUUCUUCCUUGGGUCGCCGGACUGGUUUUUCCGGCGGCCGUUUUCCGGGCAGUUUUUUCAAAUUGCCAUAACUUUGUCAUUUCUCAACGAAAUCAAGUGAUUCAAAAACGAAAGUUGUAGCCCUUGAAGAGAAAAAGAGAAUGGUACCUUGCACAACACCUAGUUCGCCGUGGUUUGGCCGGAAACUUCCUCGAAAGCCUCGGAGGUCGCCGGAAACUGGGUAUUUUUCAAAUGAGUAUAACUUCUUCAAUACUCAACGAAAUUGAGUGAAACAAAAAGGAAAGUUGUAGUACUUGACGAGACGAAGAGAUUGAUACCUACCUCGACUCCUAACUCGCCGGGUAUUCGCCGGAAAACGCCUCGAAAGCUCCGGCCAAACUUUGAACUUGUCGAUCUCCGUGUUCUUACGUCCAAAAACUUCCAACGAAGCACUCCGAGCUUCCUUGGGACCUUACUAAACUCGCUGUGAUCUUGUUUUAGCCUAAAACGUAACCAAUUCAAAGCUCAUGAACAGUGUCAUCUCACGGCAACUUUAGAACUAGGGUUUUCGAAGUGAAACUCACCUGAAAUUGGUAUCCCCGUGCUCGUGAAGUCCCCAGGAUCACGAUGGUGGUCUUAAAUGGAACGUUGGUACAAGAUUGUGGUGGUUCUUGGUGGUUGCCGUGAGUUCGAGAGUAAGAGAGAGAAUGAGAGAGUUUUCAGAAAAGAAUAAGAGAGAGAGAGAGU
rnacentral:lncRNA from 1 species